GUCCUAGUAAAUUAAAAAGAUUAGACUAUAUUUAAUGCUAAAUUAGAACUAUGUUUCUUAAGCAAAGGAUGAAUUGCAAAUACAAAUGUACAAACUAGUGCUCCCAAAUUUUCCAUAUGUACUGACAAACCCCUGACACCUAGAAUAUGAACUACCAUGAAAUAAAUAUAUUUAGAAAACUAAAGCCCAUAUUAAGUUCCAUCUAGGAAACCAUAAAAAUCAAUCCAGGUUAAAUGAGACAUCACCUACUUUAAUAACGAAGUACAUUUAAAAUAUCAGGUACUUUUCAAUUCCUGACCAACAGUGGGUUCUUAGAAUGCAAAUAUUGAAAAAAGAACAUAUCAUUUUGCCAAGGAGUUUUCUAAAAAAGCAAAUACAACAGUUUCCCUCACUUACCUUGGGGCUGCUGUUGCUGAUACAGAUGUGGUAGUAGUAGGAGACCGGGACGAAGCAUCAUGACCAGGGGAAGUGAUAUUCACAACUCUCGCUACACCCUUCUCUGCUCUGGAGCAGUUUAGAGGAGAUGAGUUUUUCCCACCACGAACAGAGGUUGCUUUCAGGAGACUUUCUGCAGAUAGUGAGACUCGUUCUAAUGACUUUUCAUCAGCAGCUGCUGCCAAAUCUUCAUUACAGGUUUCACUUUUGUCAUCAUCUAUGACCACUAUGUUUUUGGGCAUAUCCUUGAACUGAUAAACAAGCCUCUGUCCUUCAACCUUUGCAAGAAUGCCCCUUUGGUAAUAAUAUCUGUAAGGAAAAAGUUCUUAAUGAAUCAAAUCACCAAGAAGAAUGGGUAAUAACAGAAACAUUCGCUCAUUUCUGUAAAAUAAGAAGUAGCACUUCCUGCCUGGAUUGUUCAAAUGGCUGAGAAUCAUGAGUAGGAAUGAAGUUGGAACCUGGUGCUGUAGGUCCCUAUAACCUUGAGAUAUAUAAAGUAGCAAAAAGUUCAUUCUUAAAGGAAGUAAUUUAACCUGAAUACAGACUAUUUUACGAACACUGAUAAAAAUUCAACUCAUAUUUAUACAUAGAUUACAAAAACAAUCUGAUGUAACAUG